rnacentral:rRNA from 1 species
UACGGGGGGGGCAAGCGUUGUUCGGAAUUACUGGGCGUAAAGGGCUCGUAGGCGGCCAACUAAGUCAUACGUGAAAUCCCUCGGCUUAACCGGGGAACUGCGUCUGAUACUGGAUGGCUUGAGUUCGGGAGAGGGAUGCGGAAUUCCAGGUGUAGCGGUGAAAUGCGUAGAUAUCUGGAGGAACACCGGUGGCGAAGGCGGCAUCCUGGACCGAUACUGACGCUGAGGAGCGAAAGCCAGGGGAGCAGACGGG